rnacentral:rRNA from 1 species
GACGAACGCUGGCGGCGUGCCUAAUACAUGCAAGUUGAGCGAUGAAGAUUGGUGCUUGCACCAAUUUGAAGAGCAGCGAACGGGUGAGUAACGCGUGGGGAAUCUGCCUUUGAGCGGGGGACAACAUUUGGAAACGAAUGCUAAUACCGCAUAAUAACUUUAAACAUAAGUUUUAAGUUUGAAAGAUGCAAUUGCAUCACUCAAAGAUGAUCCCGCGUUGUAUUAGCUAGUUGGUGAGGUAAAGGCUCACCAAGGCGAUGAUACAUAGCCGACCUGAGAGGGUGAUCGGCCACAGUGGGACUGAGACACGGCCCAAACUCCUACGGGAGGCAGCAGUAGGGAAUCUUCGGCAAUGGACGAAAGUCUGACCGAGCAACGCCGCGUGAGUGAAGAAGGGUUUCGGAUCGUAAAACUCUGUUGGUAGAGAAGAACGUUGGUGAGAGUGGAAAGCUCAUCAAGUGACGGUAACUACCCAGAAAGGGACGGCUAACUACGUG